rnacentral:rRNA from 1 species
ACCCUAGUGGCGGACGGGUGAGUAACGCGUGGGUAACCUGCCCCAUGCCGGGGGAUAACACUUAGAAAUAGGUGCUAAUACCGCAUAAGCGCACGGUACUGCAUGGUACAGUGUGAAAAACUCCGGUGGUAUGGGAUGGACCCGCGUCUGAUUAGCUUGUUGGCGGGGUAACGGCCCACCAAGGCGACGAUCAGUAGCCGGCCUGAGAGGGUGGACGGCCACAUUGGGACUGAGACACGGCCCAAACUCCUACGGAAGGCAGCAG